CCGACCUGCACACCUACAGCAUCCUCAUCAACCGCUUCUGCCGCAUCGGACGCCUGGAGCUUGGUUUCGCCGCCUUUGGCCUCAUCCUUAAGACAGGCUGGAGGGUGAAUGGCAUAGUCAUCAAUCCACUGCUCAAAGGUGUCUGUGACAGAAAGUGCGUGUCUGAGGCCAUGGACAUAUUGCUCCGACGAAUGCCUGAGUUUGGCUGCACGCCAGAUGUAGUUUCAUACAGCACAGUUCUAAAGGGUUUAUGCGACGAAAAGAGAGCUGAGGAGGCACUUGAGCUGCUCCACAUGAUGGCCGAUGAUGGAGGUGGUAGCUGCCCACCAAAUGUCGUGGUGUACACCACCGUCAUCAAUGGCUUGUUUAGAGACGGUCAGGUGGACAAAGCUUACAACCUAUUUCGUGAAAUGGAUGACCGGGGGAUUUCGCCGACUGUUGUGACCUACACCACAGUCAUUGAUGGCCUGAGCAAAGCUCAAGCAGUUGACAGGGCCGAGGGCGUCCUUCAGCAGAUGAUUCAUAAAGGUGUCAAGCCAAACAAUCAGACAUAUAAUUGUCUGAUCCAUGGAUAUUGCUCUUCAGGACAGGGGAAAGAGGUGGUUCGAAUGCUCAAAGAAAUGUCCGCGCAUGGUCAUAAGCCAGAUACUGUCACUUGUACUUUGCUGCUGGAUCACCUUUGCAAGAGUGGAAGAUGCACAGAGGCUAGAAAGAUUUUUGAUUCUAUGAUUGAAAAGGGCACAAAACCUGAUGUAACUACAUAUGGCGUUCUGCUUCAUGGUUAUGCUACCAAAGGAGCUCUUUCUGAUAUGCGUGGCCUCUUGGAUUUGAUGGUAGAAAAUGGUGUUUCACCUGACCAUCAUACCUUUAACAUAGUUCUCUGUGCGUUUGCUAAAGGUGGUAUGAUAGAUGAGGCAAUGCAUAUAUUUGACCAAAUGAGGCAGCAAGGGUUGAGUCCUAAUGUAGUCAACUAUGGAGCAUUAAUAGAUGCACUUUGCAAGUUGGGAAGAGUGGAUGAGGCAAUGCUUAAAUUCAAUCAGAUGAUCCAUGAAGGGGUGACUCCUGAUAUCGUUGUUUUUAACUCACUAGUUUAUGGACUGUGCACUGUUGACAAAUGGGAGAAGGCCGAGGAAUUAUUUUCUGAAAUGCUGAACCAAGGGAUCCAUCCCAAUGCCACGUUCUUCAACACAAUUAUGCGUAACCUUUGCAAUGGAGGACGGGUCAUGGAAGCUCAGAGUCUCCUUGACUUGAUGGUACAUGUAGGUGUGAGACCUAAUGUUAUCUCAUAUAAUACAUUAAUAGAUGGCUACUGCUUAGCUGGUAGGAUGAAGGAAGCUGUGAAGUUACUUGAUGCUAUGGUCCCAGUUGGCUUGAAACCAAAUACCGUUUCUUUUAGUACUUUGCUUCAUGGCUAUUGUAGAGCUGGCAGGAUAGAUGAUGCAGUUAGACUAUUCAGAGAAAUGUUGAGCAAUGAAGUUAAGCCUGGAAUUGUCACUUAUAACAUUGUACUUCAUGGUUUGUUUCAGUCUGGGAAGUUUUCUGAAGCAAAAGAACUCUAUCUCAAUAUGAUCAAAAGUGGAAUGCAGCUGAACAUUUACACGUACAGCACAAUUCUGAAUGGUCUUUGCAAAAAUAAAUGUGUUGAUGAGGCAUUUAAAAUAUUUCAGAGUCUAUGUUCUAAGGGUUUUCAACUUCACAUCAUUACCUUCAAUAUUAUGAUCGAUGCUUUGCUCAAAAGUGGCAGAAAGGAAGAUGCUAUGGAUAUGUUCACUGCUAUCUCUGCCCAUGGUUUAGGUCCAGAUGUUGUGACCUAUCGCUUAAUGAUAGAAAAUCUCAUAAAAGAAGGGUUGCUAGAAGAGUCUGACAAUCUGUUUUCAGCAAUGGAAAAGAGUGGAUGCACUCCAAACUCAUGUAUGCUAAAUGCUCUAGUUAGGAGGCUGUUGCAUAGAGGUGAGAUAAUGAGGGUUGGGGCUUACCUCUCCAAAAUUGAUGAGAUGAACUUCUCACUUGAGGCAGCCACUACUUCCUUGCUAAUAUCAGUUUUGUCGAGGGAGGAAUAUCAGCACCAUGCAAAGUCCCUGCCUGAAAAGUAUCAUUUUCUUAAUGAGAUAAAUAAAUGAGGAUUUUUUUUCAGAGGAAUUGGAUUCUCAACUGUGUUGAGACAUCUUUAUGUGGCGCGUAAAUUUGUUGGAGUGAUUAUGUCUGUCUAUUGCAGUGAUUAUUUCUGUCUCAUGCUCUAAUUUACUUACCAUAUUCUACGGUCUCCUUUCUUUAGAGAAAUGUUAUCAUGAUAGUGCUCUUCGGUUGGUCAUGCUAGUCAUGGAAUCUCAAGCAUCUAUUCUGAACAAUUUUCAGGCGAAGUCAGGUGGAUUGUUCCGAGUCCGUCCCUGUUGAAGCGGGUAAACCACUUAACCUGCUGCCAAAGCAGUUGCAACCAGUCUCUCUCUCCCCUACGCUAACAUUGGUGUCUGGGCAAGUUGUAAAUAUUUCUGCAAUACACAACCAAUGUGAGCCCAUGCCGCCAGCCAUGGCAGGUUUGUUCAUCAAUACCGCGGCUUCAUCUUGUCCUCGAUGGCUCGAUCUAAUGAAAUAGGAAACAGCAUGUCCGUGAAGAUCCUGAUCCAUGUCCACAUAAAUCUCUAUGAUCUGUAAUAAAAAAAAAAUCUCUGUGGUCUCA